rnacentral:misc_RNA from 1 species
UCUCCGUUGGUGAACCAGCGGAGGGAUCAUUACCGAGUUUACAACUCCCAAACCCAAUGUGAACCAUACCAAACUGUUGCCUCGGUGGGGUCACGCCCCGGGUGCGUCGCAGCCCCGGAACCAGGCGCCCGCCGGAGGGACCAACCAAACUCUUUCUGUAGUCCCCUCGCGGACGUUAUUUUUACAGCUCUGAGCAAAAAUUCAAAAUGAAUCAAAACUUUCAACAACGGAUCUCUUGGUUCCG